rnacentral:rRNA from 1 species
AUGAACGCUGGCGGCGUGCCUAAUACAUGCAAGUCGAGCGAACGGACGAGAAGAUUGCUUUUCUGAUGUUAGCGGCGGACGGGUGAGUAACACGUGGAUAACCUACCUAUAAGACUGGGAUAACUUCGGGAAACCGGAGCUAAUACCGGAUAAUAUUUUGUACCGCAUGGUUCAAAAGUGAAAGACGGUCUUGCUGUCACUUAUAGAUGGAUCCGCGCUGCAUUAGCUAGUUGGUAAGGUAACGGCUUACCAAGGCAACGAUGCAUAGCCGACCUGAGAGGGUGAUCGGCCACACUGGAACUGAGACACGGUCCAGACUCCUACGGGAGGCAGCAGUAGGGAAUCUUCCGCAAUGGGCGAAAGCCUGACGGAGCAACGCCGCGUGAGUGAUGAAGGUCUUCGGAUCGUAAAACUCUGUUAUUAGGGAAGAACAUAUGUGUAAGUAACUGUGCACAUCUUGACGGUACCUAAUCAGAAAGCCACGGCUAACUACGUG